rnacentral:lncRNA from 1 species
CCUAUACUGUUAUUACUGUUCAACAGUCCUGAAAUCUGAAUGACAGUGGCCUGAGCCCUUUCAAACAACAGAAAGAAGGUCAAUUUUUGUAAUGAGGAAAUGGAAGUGGUGGCGCCGAAGAUCACUGACCCUUACAGUUUCUUGUGUGAUGAAGGAGCAGUGAAGUGCACCAGGAAAUUAUGGUGUAGGGAAACAGUGACACCACCAUC